rnacentral:rRNA from 1 species
UUAAAUUGAAGAGUUUGAUCAUGGCUCAGAUUGAACGCUGGCGGCAGGCCUAACACAUGCAAGUCGAACGGUAACAGGAAGCAGCUUGCUGUUUCGCUGACGAGUGGCGGACGGGUGAGUAAUGUCUGGGAAAC